UCCAUUUUACCAGACGUGAAGAUGAUGCUGGAAAAGUUUCAAAUAUAAAACUUUAGGCUUGAAAUAUAAUCACCAAACAUUCUUAUAAUAAAAAUCAGCUGAACAGCACUAUUGGAUCAAAGUGACAUCAUAUCCACCGUUGCUUUGAUGUAAUUUCAGGUGCUCACACACAUUUUUCAGAGCCCCACUGUUUGUGUUGCUGCUGGUUUGGAGACACGUUUCCAGUCGUGUUGGUUUUUACCGCUUAGAGAUUCACAAAUCAUACAGACUUGAAAUGCUACGGCGCUGUGGUGAUGUUGUCAUCAGCGAGUUGAGUGACCUGUGCAGCGGCUGUAAUGGGGCUUUAAGGAGGGGUGUAAAUGAAUUGAAAGGGCAGCAGCACACCGCCUUGAUAAAAAGCUUCCCUCUAAAAGCAUCCCAGUAACGACUGCUCAAUUAAAACACUGGAAUGUUUGUUUCCAUGGAAAUGCGAGUCCUCUCAGAGGCCUGUACUGUGAAGCGGGAUGUUGUCCUAUCCAGGUAACUUCAAGGUUAAUCCUGGGUUAAAGCGGGUUAAAUUGCCAUACUAACUUAUUCAAACCAGAUUAGAGAUUAAAUCAUCUCUGUACUGAUAUCAGAUUUGUACACAGACCUAUCCUGUGCUUGAAUUCAGAUUUUAUUUGUAGCUGUUUGGGAGCAAAGAUUAAACAGCAGCGAGUCUGCAGGUUGGGAGAAGGUUAUGUUCAGAGCUUCAGUUUAAAAUCAGCUGGGAGCGCCACUUUUUUUUCUUUUUUUCCCAGCAUGUUUUAACACCAACACUUCCUGUUCAGUCAGAAAACUGAGAAACUGAAGGGAUUUCUCAUCUCAUGUAUCAAGCUAUGGGACAGGAAGCUUUGGUGUUUCCAUGCAGCCGUCACCUUAGAAAUAAACAGCAGCGUACUUGA